AAGUCGUAACAAGGUUUCCGUAGGUGAACCUGCGGAAGGAUCAUUAUUGAAUAAACCUGGCGUGGUUGUAGCUGGUCCUCUCGGGGACAUGUGCUCGCCCGUCAUCUUUAUAUCUCCACCUGUGCACCCUUUGUAGACCUGGACGAUAACUUUCCGAGGCAACUCGGUCGGGAGGAUUGCUGGCUUUCACGAGUCGGCUUUCCUUGUAUUAUCCAGGCCUAUGUCUUACACAUACCCCAAAGAAUGUAACAGAAUGUAUUGUAUAUGGCCUAGUGCCUAUAAACUAUAUACAACUUUCAGCAACGGAUCUCUUGGCUCUC
rnacentral:misc_RNA from 1 species